AUUCUGCCUACUGUAGGUACUUCAUCAAAGUGGAAUCAUACAGUGUCUUUGGUGACUGGCUGUUUUGCAGAACAUCCCCAAGGUUCAUCCAUGUCAUAGCAGGUGUCCGCACUUCGUUCCUUGUUAAAGCUGAAUAAUCCUCCAUUACCUGGAUGCACCAUUUUCUUUAUUCCUUCAUUCAUCAAUGGAGACGUGGGUUACUUCCACCUUUUGGCUAUUGUCAAUAAUGCUGCAGCGAUUCCCAGGCUGGCUGAGUAAUUGAUAGUCUACAAAACUGCUUGGCACAGCUGUCCCCAAUCUAUAGGGAGUGGUUGUGGGUUCACAGAAAACCCACAAGACUUUGGAGCCAAAAUACAUCUGGUUUCCAAUGCUUGACUGGCCAGCUACAACUUUAGGCAAAUUUAAUCCUCCUGAACCUCAUGCUGCCCAUCACCGAAAUGGGAAUUACAGUAUCCACACCACCUCCUACUGGUCGUUGUCCCAGCAUCCACACCACCUCCUACAUCCUAAGGGAAUCUUGAUUUCUUUUUUCAACUUUCUUCUGCUCCCAGGUGAUCUCAAGGGGCUGAGAUAUCCAUUGUUCCAGGGAUGGGGCAAGCCCCGCCCCCUUUGCAAUGAUUGGUUCAGACGCUCAGGCUUCAGCCAAUCGGUUGCUGGCAGUGCCUUAGCAACUGUGGCUAGUGUUAGGCCCUUGAUCUGAGCUGCCCAAUCAGGUAGAGGAUGAGCUUUUUUUCCAACUUGGAGAAAUGACGCUCCUCGGAGCUGGGAAAUAAACACGAGUUUCUUCAGCUGCUGAUGCUGCGCCAUCCUCUAAACACGAGGGAAGGAGCAUGAGAACGAACCCCAGGCACAGAGGAAAGGCAGCCAUAAAAAGGCAUGACCAGACACCAAAACCAUCACAGAGGAAGCUUGAAAAGAAAGACUUCAUGAAGACUUCGGUCAAGACACAACCGGGGAACAGAAACAUCUCAGCAGAAUAUUCAGACAGUGCUGAUCAAUAAGGGGAACUACGGGGUCGAUAGCUGUCGAGACCCACUCCGUGUGCAGCUCACGUGCUUCUCACAACUCCAGGAAGCGGAUGUUGCUCUUAUUCGUCACUUACAGAAAGCUGAGGUCAGCAGGGUGAAAUCACCUGCCCCCAGGUCCGACAGUGUUUCCCGUAUGGGGCAGAGUGGGGAUGUGAAUCCAGGCUGCCCAACUCCGGGCCCAGGUUCUCUUUCCAUCCGGGGAGCCAACAGCUGACACCGAUGAGCCAGAGUCCUCCCGAGCCGCUGCUUGGCUCCGGAGCGCAGCCCCUGCUUCUCCCACUGCCUCCCAUGGGUCUGCUCAGCCCCCAGUGCUGCCUCAGACCCAAUGGGUUACAAACUGACCUUGGCCUUCACAAUGGGAAGGUCAAACUUC